GAUGAAGAACGCAGCGAAAUGCGAUACGUAAUGUGAAUUGCAGAAUUCAGUGAAUCAUCGAAUCUUUGAACGCAUAUUGCGCUCUCUGGUAUUCCGGAGAGCAUGCUUGUUUGAGUAUCAGUAAACACCUCAACUUCCAUAUCUUUUUUUGAAAUGGGAGUUGGACUUGAGUGAUCCCAACGCUUUUCCUCACCGAAAAGUGGCGGGUUACUUGAAAUGCAGGUGCAGCUGGACUUUUCUCUGAGCUAUAAGCAUAUCUAUUUAGUCUGCCUAAAAAACAGAUUAUUACCUUUGCUGCAGCUAACAUAAAGGAGAUUAGUUCUUGUGCUGACUGAUGCAGGAUUCACAAAGACAGCUUCGGCCGACUUUGUAAACUCGAUCUCAAAUCAAGUAAGACUACCCGCUGAACUUAAGCAUAUCAAUAAGCGAGGA
rnacentral:misc_RNA from 1 species